rnacentral:rRNA from 1 species
UGGCGGACGGGUGAGUAAUGUCUGGGAAACUGCCUGAUGGAGGGGGAUAACUACUGGAAACGGUAGCUAAUACCGCAUAACGUCGCAAGACCAAAGAGGGGGACCUUCGGGCCUCUUGCCAUCGGAUGUGCCCAGAUGGGAUUAGCUAGUAGGUGGGGUAACGGCUCACCUAGGCGACGAUCCCUAGCUGGUCUGAGAGGAUGACCAGCCACACUGGAACUGAGACACGGUCCAGACUCCUACGGGAGGCACAUG